ACUACCGAUUGAAUGGUUUAGUGAGGCCUUCUGACUGGCGCCGACACUCUGGCGACAGAGAGUCGAAUGCCGGAAAGUUGGUCAAACUUGAUCAUUUAGAGGAAGUAAAAGUCGUAACAAGGUUUCCGUAGGUGAACCUGCGGAAGGAUCAUUACCGAUACGUGUCCAAAUCAAGUCUUCGACUUGUACCGUGUGAACUCGAGCAAACUUUUAGGGGUCGGCAAGUCCGUUAAAUGGCGGUCGGACGCAGGAGCGCUGAGGUUCUGCGGCCGCCCGUCCAGCCCCGCCAGUGUUUUUUUACCAACAUGCUUAACAGAGUCUGAAGGCUGCGCUCGUGCGCGGCGCGGGUUUGCGCCCCGCCGCGCAGAGCGAGACGAAAAAAGAUUGACAACUUUUGACGGUGGAUCUCUUGGCUCACGCAUCGAUGAAGAACGCAGCCAGCUGCGAUAAGUAGUGUGAAUUGCAGAAUUCAGUGAAUCAUCGAAUCUUUGAACGCAAAUGGCGCUCUUGGGUUCUCCCAGGAGCAUGUCUGUCUGAGUGUCGGAUAUCACCCAUCGCACUUGAGUGCGCGGAGUUGAGGCGUCAUGGCCGCCGGCUGUCGCGGGCAGGCCGUGUCCCUCGAAAGGCAGAGAGACCCGCCGUGACUGGGGCUUCUUCCCGGCACAGCAGCGGAGGCUAAAACUCGUUUUGCCCUUCGCGUGCCCGGCGAAGACCUCGGGUCGCACCUGGGUCGCAGGCGAACUCACACAUACAUCUUGACCUCAGAUCAGGCAAGGCUACCCGCUGAAUUUAAGCAUAUUAAUAAGCGGAGGAAAAGAAACUAACAAGGAUUCCCCUAGUAACGGCGAGUGAAGCGGGAAGAGCUCAAAUUUGAAAUCUCCGAUGCUUGCAUCGGCGAGUUGUAGUUGCGAGAAGCACUUUCUAGGCGGAUCGGCACUGCCUAAGUUGCUUGGAACAGCACGUCACAGAGGGUGACAACCCCGUCUGUGGCAGUGGCGGCCGCUGACGAUGUGCUUUCGAA
rnacentral:rRNA from 1 species